UGGGGAAUAUUGCACAAUGGGCGGAAGCCUGAUGCAGCGACGCCGCGUGGGGGAUGAAGGCCUUCGGGUUGUAAACUUCUUUCGACAGGGACGAAGCUUUUGUGACGGUACCUGUAUAAGAAGCACCGGCUAACUACGUGCCAGCAGCCGCGGUAAUACGUAGGGUGCGAGCGUUGUCCGGAAUUACUGGGCGUAAAGAGCUCGUAGGUGGUUUGUCGCGUCGUCUGUGAAAUUCCGGGGCUUAACUCCGGGCGUGCAGGCGAUACGGGCUGACUUGAGUGCUGUAGGGGAGACUGGAAUUCCUGGUGUAGCGGUGAAAUGCGCAGAUAUCAGGAGGAACACCGAUGGCGAAGGCAGGUCUCUGGGCAGUAACUGACGCUGAGGAGCGAAAGCAUGGGUAGCGAACAGG
rnacentral:rRNA from 1 species